rnacentral:misc_RNA from 1 species
UGCUCACAGCUCACAAAGGAAAAGGCAG